UACAGAGGGAGCGAGCGUUAAUCGGAAUUACUGGGCGUAAAGCGCACGUAGGUGGCGACGUAAGUCGGGUGUGAAAGCCCCGGGCUCAACCUGGGAAUUGCAUUCGAGACUGCAUUGCUGGAGUACGGAAGAGGAGGGCGGAAUUCCAGGUGUAGCGGUGAAAUGCGUAGAUAUCGGGAGGAACAUCAGUGGCGAAGGCGGCCCUCUGGUCCAGUACUGACACUCAAGUGUGAAAGCGUGGGGAGCAAACAGG
rnacentral:rRNA from 1 species